CUGCUCAGGACCCAAAGCAGAGUGCUGGCUCUUCUACCGAGUGACCCACAAGGGGGUUGUCUCCCAUGGUCAUACUCCGGGGCCCUGAGACAAAGUCAGAUUCACGCCGUUGCAGCUGGAGAACCGCUUCAGUGAAGGGCUGGCGUGUGUCUCUGGAGCUGGGUGGGGAGUGUGCAUCCUGUCCGGCGGCCACCCUGGGGAGACAGCCAACCCCGGAGGUGGCUUCCUGGGAGUCACAACCUGAGCAGACCUGGUCUCCCCUCCAGGAAGGGCUGGGCUUGGGGACUGGCUGUGACUAUGGGGCCCAGUGUUCCAGAAGGAAGGGAUGAGGGGAGGGAAGGUCAGAUCUGGAAUGUUCCAUGGAGGUUGCAGGGUCUGGAGAAUAUAUUUGAUAGAAAAAUAAGGUGCUUUGGGAAUUUGUGCAGUCUGUGCCCUGCCUGCCCAAGAGAGACCUGCCCUGCUGGCCAAAGGGUAGUGAGG